rnacentral:sRNA from 1 species
UAUGUAACACAUACACAAACGACAACCGCUGAAUUACAGGCUCCUGACUCGGGAGCCUGUAAUUCAGUGGUUGUCGUUUGUUUAUGUGU